AUACAAUUCAAAGUAUCAAAAUUCUUCUAAUAUAUUAACCAAAAUAUACUAAGAUUAGGGUAAAAUAUAUAAUAUAAAAUCUACUUAUCACAUGUGCUACUCAUUCCAAGCCCAAAAUUGCUCCAAAAUGCACCAAAAUACAUCUUAUUGCUUUAUAAGGCCUAUGGACUUACAAACACACGAAAAUAGCUUAAAAUACAUAAUUAACCAAGAAAUAACAACAUAAAUGCAUGAGAACAAGCUAACUCAGUCACAUAAAUAUGUUAUCAAAUUUCUUCACACUUAGCUUUUGCUAGUCCUCGAGCAAAACAAAACAAACGAAACAAACAAAACACAACCUAGAUCUUCCAAUAUUUGCCUCAGGGAUUUUUAAUGAAACAUGACAUGUUAAAAAUCAUCAUUCCCACAGAUUUUGGUCAUCUUUACACUUGAGCACAUACUUAAUCACAGUCACUACUUACUAGUUCACAAUUAACCAAUUAAAACAAUGUUUUGAAUGUAGUAACAUGCCUUAGAGAAUUUGCUCAAUUCCUUACAAGAUACUCUCUAUUUUCACACACAUUUUAUGACUACACACCCUACACUAGUAUAUGUGAGAAGAUUGAUGUAAACAUGAAAGACUAGGACUCACAUAUGUUAUAACAAAGAAAGCAAUUUUCUGGAGUUAUUAAGCAUGUUUAGAUAUGAUCUCAUGAAUGGAAUGCUACUACUUAGAUGCGAGAACCAGUGACACCAUAUGCUCAUACCAAUUUCGAACUCCACAAAUUGAAGCACACAACACUCAAGAUUGAAGUCAAGGGUUGUAAUAGGGCUUGGGGGUAAUGGCCAACAAAGAAAUGAUAGGGAUAACAAACGUUCUUAAAGCGAUAGCAAGCAAAGUAAUGAAAUAGACACUUGGAAAUCACUUUAGAACGCAUAAUCAACUUUUAAAUGCAAAGGGAAGAUUCAUGCAACACUUAGGGCCGAAUUCAAUGUUUUGAACCCUUUCUUUAACAAACAACACUUUAGAGCUCUUUUUCAUACUUUUUUUCAAUUCUUUUUAUUUUUUUAUUUUUUAUUUUAUUUUUCUACCCAUGCCUUAUUAAGG
rnacentral:lncRNA from 1 species